rnacentral:rRNA from 1 species
CAGCCCUAAACGAUGCGCGUUAGGUGUAUCGGUGACCACGAGUCACCGAGGUGCCGAAGGGAAACCGUGAAACGUGCCGCCUGGGAAGUACGGUCGCAAGGCUGAAACUUAAGGAAUUGGCGGGGGAGCACCACAACGGGUGGAGCCUGCGGUUUAAUUGGACUCAACGCCGGGAAGCUCACCGGAUAAGACAGCGGAAUGAUUGCCGGGCUGAAGACCCUGCAUGACCAGCUGAGAGGUGGUGCAUGGCGUCAGUGACU